rnacentral:lncRNA from 1 species
UGACUUGAGUUACUUCCAACAUGUUCAAAUAGGGUCUAUUCAUCAUUCAAAGGAGCAAAAGUUUGUUCAUGAGCUGUCAUGCUCACUAGGCGAGCAGAAUGGGUCGCCUAGCGAGUCCCGAGAAAAGCCGCCAGAAUCACCUGCGCUCAGAGGAAUUUCCUGAACUGUCAUGCUCGCUAGGCGAAGCCCACACGUUUUGAAAA